GCCUUGGUAGCUCAAUUGGCUAGAGCGUGGGACUUUUACUUCGGAUGCUUCCUUUAGGCGUACGAAAUUGCAAUAUCCCAAGGUUGCGGGUUCGACCCCCGCCUGAGGCG